rnacentral:sRNA from 1 species
AUGACCAGUAACAGACGACUACAGCAAACCCAGGCACAAGUGGAGGAGGUGGUGGACAUCAUACGUGUGAACGUGGACAAGGUCCUGGAGAGGGACCAGAAGCUGUCAGAGCUGGAUGACCGAGCUGAUGCCUUGCAGGCAGGAGCAUCACAAUUUGAGAGCAGUGCUGCAAAGCUAAAGAGGAAGUAUUGGUGGAAAAACUGCAAGAUGAUGAUCAUGCUGGGAGCCAUCUGUGCCAUCAUCGUGGUAGUUAUUGUAAGUAAGUAUCGCUGAAGUUGCUGGUGGGGUGAAGAGGUGGGAAGGUCCUGGAGUCUUCUCCCUGCCUGCCUGCCUGCCUGGGGAGUGGGGCUGCUCUGACUGAGGUAUGGAGACCGCUGCUAUGGGAUCGUCAUCUGGUUCGGGACGGGGGAAGGGCAGAGACAAGGGAUUUCUUUAAUGGACAAGCCUUCCCCCUGCAAAGCAUUGCAGGGAGAUGGCGCCUCCUGUUCUGAGGAAGUGGGGCUAUGCUGUGUGUCACUGGCUUGGGUUGGAGGGAGACCAUGGGGAUGGGGCACUUAACAAUGGAAA